rnacentral:lncRNA from 1 species
AUGGGAUUCGUGCCCUUAAAAGGAAAGCCCAGGCAGUGCGCUCUACCUCCCACCCCCGCCCCAGUGAUCUCCUCCCCAGCAGCCCUGCCCCUUGGUGUGAGGACCAGCCGGGAGGGGAGCCGGGGCGCUCAGCAGACCCAGCCGGCUCCAGCACCAGAUCUCAGACUUCCAGCCUCCGGAACUGAGGGAAAUAAAUGUGUGAAAGUGUAUUUAAUACACAUGUCUGACCCCUCGGUACCUUGCCUCCUUUAUUUAGAAGAACAUCUUUGGUGGCCCUCUGUUUCCUUGGCCCCGUGCUGGGGGCAGGUGUGGACCGCCGGCCACAGCACAUGCAGUGGGAAAAGGAAAGGGUGCACCGGAGGGAGGAACCGCCCGAGACUGGGCCCCCCAGCGCGAGGCCCCGCGCCACUCACUCACCUCGAGGCCGCUGCACAUCUCGGGCGGGGCCCUGGCCUCGCGUGGGGGCCGAGGACUCGGGACGUGGUCUUGCCUGUCCGGACCGCCGCGGCUUCCCGGGCUGGUCCCGAAACCCUUUCCCCGCAGCGCCCCCGCGCCCCGGUUCAGCGGCGGCUGGCGCGGGGCGGGGCGGGGCGGGCGGGCCGGGGCGGCCGGGGUGGCCUCGCCGCCGAGACUCCACGCGCACGCGGGGGCUGCGCACGGGCCACAGGAGGCGCGGCGGCCCGCGGGCGGGGCAGGGGCAGCGGUCGCCGCAGCGCGGCCGCGCGAAGCCCCCGAGGGCGCCCCAAAGGGCUCGGGAGGGCGGUAGGCGGCGGGGGUCGGUGCCGCUGCGGGCGGGGAACCCGCGGCCCCGCGCGCCCCAGCGCUGUGCCCCGCGGCCCGGCCCGCUCCCCCGGCGAUGCUCCGGGCGCCCCAAGGCCGAGGGCGGAGAGGAGGGCAGCCCCGGGGACGCCUGGACAGGUUCCCCCGGGACGCGCGGCUCCCCCCGGCCGGCGAAGACUCGCGGGGCGCCGGGCGGGGGCGGGGCGGGGCGGGGGCGGGGGCGCGGCCGGGGGUCCUCCGCCCACCCGGGGCGGGGCCGGGGCGGGGCCGGGCGGGAGGGCGCCCCCGACGGCGGCAGGGGCGGGGCGGCCAGGCACCGCUUAA